UGGGGAAUUUUGCACAAUGGAGGAAACUCUGAUGCAGCGACGCCGCGUGAGUGAUGAAGAUCUUCGGAUUGUAAAACUCUGUCCUUAGUGAAGAUAAUGACAGUAACUAAGAAGCAAGCCCUGGCUAAAUACGUGCCAGCAGCCGCGGUAAUACGUAUGGGGCAAGCGUUGUCCGGAAUUAUUGGGCGUAAAGGGUACGUUGGCGGUUUAAUAAGUCCUAAUUAAAAGGCUAUGGCUCAACCAUAGUAUGGUUAGGAAACUGUUGAACUUGAGUAGAUGAGGGGAAAGUGGAAUUCCAUGUGUAGCGGUGAAAUGCGUAGAUAUAUGGAGGAACACCAAUGGCGAAGGCAACUUUCUGGAAUCAAACUGACGCUGAGGUACGAAGGCGUGGGGAGCAAACAGG
rnacentral:rRNA from 1 species